rnacentral:rRNA from 1 species
UACGUAGGGAGCAAGCGUUGUCCGGAAUCAUUGGGCGUAAAGCGCGCGUAGGUGGCCACAUAAGUCCGUUGUGAAAGUCAAAGGCUCAACCUUUGAAAGCCGAUGGAUACUGUGUGGCUAGAGUACGGAAGAGGCGAGUGGAAUUCCUGGUGUAGCGGUGGAAUGCGCAGAUAUCAGGAGGAACACCAAUAGCGAAGGCAGCUCACUGGGACGGUACUGACGCUGAGACGCGAAAGCGUGGGGAGCAAACAGG